CUAGUAAUCAUUACUAAGUCAAUGAGCCUCUAGGACAGUGGUGGCGAACCUAUGGCACGGGUGCCAGAGGCGGCACUCCGAGCCCUUUCUGUGGGCACCCGCCCCUGGAAAAACUCUACAGUGUACCAAUAAGCCUUAGACUUCUAAUGGAAUUCAUCAGCGCAGGGCGCA